rnacentral:rRNA from 1 species
AACGAACGCUGGCGGCAGGCUUAACACAUGCAAGUCGAGCGCCCCGCAAGGGGAGCGGCAGACGGGUGAGUAACGCGUGGGAAUCUACCCAUCUCUACGGAAUAACGCAUGGAAACGUGUGCUAAUACCGUAUACGUCCUUCGGGAGAAAGAUUUAUCGGAGAUGGAUGAGCCCGCGUUGGAUUAGCUAGUUGGUGGGGUAAAGGCCUACCAAGGCGACGAUCCAUAGCUGGUCUGAGAGGAUGAUCAGCCACACUGGGACUGAGACACGGCCCAGACUCCUACGGGAGGCAGCAGUGGUGAAUAUUGGGCAAUGGGCGCAAGCCUGAUCCAGCCAUGCCGCGUUAGUGAUUAAGGCCCUAGGGUUGUAAAGCUCUUUCACCGGUGAAGAUAAUGACGGUAACCGGAGAAGAAUCCCCGGCUAACUUCGUGCCAGCCGCCGCGGUAAGAC